CAGGACUGGAAUCAGGACUUCCGCUUCAGAGGAUGGGGGCAAAGCAACAAUAUAACUCCAGAGCACAGUCAAUAAGACACUUAUGUGAAGGACUGAACAGAAAACUCUCUGGUGAUACAGUGUCAUCUAAGGGUAAACAAGAUACCAGUAGAGCAACUGGACUGGGUGUCCUCCAAAAAAUCCUCCUUAACUAUCAUUUCCCAAAAUGAAUCAAGCACUAAAUAAUGUGAUGCUGCUGGCAAAAGUAUUAGUAGUAGUAGAAGGAGGAGGAGGAGACGGUAAGAAAAACAGCUCCUCUUUGCUACUAAUCAAGGGUGAACUUGUAUGCUUCCCCAUUCACUGAGGCAGAAGGUAAAUUCAAGAAAAUAGUUUCUCUUAUAAAAAAUUAAAAGGUUUAAAUGGAUGGCCAUGCACCAGAGGUGAAAGAAUUAAUUUUCAUUUUACAUUUUCAUAGAAUCAGAUUUAUCUUUCCCUCAACUAUUCUGAAUGAAUGGGAUUGUUCAGUUGUGAUACCAUCUAACAUUUAUAGGAUGCUCUUCAGUUCACAGAGCAUAUUUCUACUCUAGUGACAUUACUCUGACAUGACUGAGUGACUGAACUGAACUGACCUGACACUACUUUGGCCCUCAGGUUCAUCAUCUCCCUCUGGGAUUAUUACAUAAGCAUUUUCUUUGGUCUCUUGUGUCUAGUUCCAUGGAGAUCAACUGACAGGAUCUGAUGGAGUCUUUGGACACUCUCACAAAACGGUGCUUAUGCCCACUGACAGGAACCUUUUAGAAUUUCAAUAUUUUCCCCUCCUUCCUCUGCAUCCUUGAUUCCAUCCUCACAUUCCUGCUGCAGUCUUACACGUUCUUACCAGUGUGACCAACGAAACCCUCUAUGCUUUUUUUUUUUUUUUUUUGCUUUAUAAUGUUGUAUUACUUUUUGCUGUACAGCAAAGUGAAUCAGCUAUAUGUAUACAUAUAUCUCUUUUCUGGAUUUCAUUCCUAAAAAGGCCACCAGAAAGCAUUGUGUAUAGUUCCUUGUGCUAUAUAGUAGGUUCUCAUUAGUUACCUAUUUUAUACAUAGAGUGUGUGUGUGUAUAUAUAUAUAUAUAUAUAUAUAUAUAUAUAUAAUAUGUCAAUUGUUCUGUGAUUUUUAAUUGUUUCCAAGUAAAACUGAAUCCUGCAGAAUAUAUGAACUCUCAUCUGCUUCUGCCUACCUCUCAUAUAUCAUACCUCCUGACAUACACUGUCCUUUCCAGGCCCUUGAACCAACUGCCCUUCCAAGAUCAUCUGUGAGGACCUUUGCCUAGAGUAGAAGUGAAGUGAAGUGAAAGUCACUCAGUCGUGUCCAACUCUUUGUGACCCCAUUGACUAUACAGUCCAUGGCAUUCUCCAGGCCAGAAUACUGGAGUGGGUAACCUUUCCCUUCUCCAGGGGACCUUCCCAACCCAGGGAUUGAACCCAGGUCUCCCACAUUGCAGGUGGAUUCUUUACCAGCUGAGUCACCAGGGAAGCCCUUACCUAGAGUAACUUUUCUCCAACUCCUCCCUACUCUCACAACUAGGGCAGACAUUGCUUUCCCCUGGACACCCACUAAGGGAGGCAGAUUUGAUUGCCCCUCUUAUGCUUCCAUCGGCUCAUGUAAACACACUUGACGGGCCACCUUGCCACAUUCAAGUGUGUAAUUAUAAAUGGGCACAUUGUCCUCAGCUUCACUUUAGGUACCUUGAGAGCAAAUACAAUAUGUAUGUCCCCAGCAUGUAGUACAAUGUGGCCAUACUAAGAGAUUAAUGAAUAUUUUCUAAAAAUUUAUUUGCUGAAUAAAAUGGAUCUCAUGGAUGAUAUGUUUUAGGCU
rnacentral:tRNA from 1 species